GUCAUCUGUGAAUACAAUUGCACAUUUAAAUUCUAAGUUCCCUUCCUUAUCUCUACUCCCUGUCCCAGUACACAAAAAUGUUUCUGUGCCCCUCCCCUCCCCCAUCCCUGCACCUCCCUCACCCAGCUGACAGCUGUGUGUGUCUUUAUAGAAGUAGCUGUGCCUGCCUGUCGGUAGCAGAGCUUAUCUCAGAAGCUCCUAGGGUGGAACCAAAGAAGGGGGUUUGUAUUAUGAGAAAAACAAAUUUAAUCUCCUCAAUUUCAGAGGCAGCAGCACAUGGAGGAAGCUGUCAGCCACCACACUCUGAACUCAGUUAAGGCUGAAGUGCAGCUUUCAUCCCAGCUCCGGGUAGCGAGAGACAAGCCCUCCUUCUCCCUAAGUUGUAUGAAAAAAUGCCCAUGACUGAGUUUUCUGUCCAUUAAACGAAUUCCUCAGAUUCUUGGGAGGACAGCGAUCUUCAGCCCCACAAGACAUUAAGAACUGACACUCCACCACAACCUCCAAGAACACAUCAGUUUCAGAACUCAAGGCAGCAUGAUUCAGCCACGGACAGAGAGGAAUGUGUUCCAGUCCCAGAGGACCAGAAGGAUGGCAGAUCCAGGAGGCGGGAACUCUCUGUUCCACCUCAACAGUGAGUCUGUGCUGGCGUCCAGCUAUCACCUGCACUGUGCCUAACAGCGCCCCCUCAAUUGCAGCCUCAACUGAAAGGACUGGCAGGCAGAACGAAUCUGCUGCUCAUGGAAUUCUCCAGAUUACCAGGUCUAAAAAUACCUGGAGGUGGUAAUUUGAGCACCAAUCAGCCACAUGGUAACUGAGUACAUGUUAAUGUGCCAAGCACUGUCUGAAAUACUCUAUUUCAUGAAGGGCAGGUUUUUGUUACCAAUUUUAACAGUGAAGGAACAGAAAGGUUUAACAAUUUGUCCAUAGUCACACGUUCUAUGAUGCAACUGGGACAUUAACCCAGGGCGCACGGUCUCCACCACUAUGUGAGAUCUAAUAAUAGUCAUGACUAACAUCUACUGAAUGCUAACAAAGUGCCAGGCACUACUGUACUUCUCCCCAACCCAACGCUAUGUUUUUAAAUCCCCCAUUUUUAAGGGAAGGAUGCCAAGUAAAAUAAGGCUGGCUGGCUGGCUGGAUAUGCAUAGAAUUAUAUACUUUGGUCCUUAGCUUGAUCUCAAGGAUAUCUCUUUCCUUAACAUAGGCAGGAAAAUGCAACAGAAGCAAAAGAAUUGGUUGGGUCAGGGGAGAAAGAAUUCAGUGGGAGUAAAGAUAAGAAAAACAGAGAAGCUAAAAAAGGUAGAAACACUGAUAUAUCAACCAACCAAAAUAUAUGAUUAUUAUUCUGGGCUUGGAUGUCUUUCAAUAGUUAAUCUCCAAGGACACAGAGUUUUAUGAGAGGGCUGAGGAUGAUCCUCUAAAGUGGUUAAAACAAACAAAAAACAGCAACACACCAAAAAAACCACCACUUUAUUUCUAACAAGUUGCAUUUAAUAUAGGAUUUCACUAUAAUAAAGGUAGAAUUCUAAGAGCAUAGAGAACAUUAGCUACUUGGGGUACAUUGAGGGCAAAAUGACCAAAAAUGCCACUGGAGGAUCACUAAAGAGAAAAUGAAGACAGUAUCAUAACAAAGGAAACUCAGCAAAAUAGUAAUCACACUUAAAAGAGCUUAUACAAAUUCCAUUUGAUAUACUAUUCUACUAAAAAUAUGUAAAUACCUUUUCCAUUUCCUGUCUGAAGGUUGUAAACAGUUCAUUGCUUUUUGCCAUGGUAGUCUGGAAUUCUUCAAACUUAUCCAUAUAAAGAGAAAGCUAUAGGAAAAAAAGUAUGAAACAUUCUGAGUUCCAUGCAAACAAUUCCAGUUCCCAAACUUUCAAAAGAACGUAGUAUGGUUACUUAUUACAAGUGAUAGAAAUACGAACAAAUGCACAUCCAAUCCUUGGACACCAGACAUAGAUGGCUAAAGUUCUGACAACCCACAGAAAUGCAUUAAAACUGAGGACAUUCUGUUGACUUUAAUAUUAGAUCUCCACCCAUUGGUCAUAACACAGCCUGAAGGAUGUGGUGACUAUAAACGUCAUGCAUGUGGAGUGCUCGCCCAACUACCCCUCUCCUGCCAAGUGAAAACUGUCCUUGGGAAAAGAUCAUUCCUUUAGAAUACCACCUGCAGAGUUCUUAGUUUGAUAGCAAUGGUAUCUCUUUCCUUAACGAAGGGAGGAAAAUGCAACAGAAGCCAAAGAAUUGGUUUGGUUGGGGAAGAAGAAUUCGGUGAGAGUAAAAUUAAAAGAAAACGUAAAGAGAUCUACUCUUAACAUAGUCCUACCCUCAAGGAAUUUUUAUUUAAGGAUGAGGGAAAAAUGCUAACCAACAAGGCAAGCAAAAUAUAAAAUGGAGUCACCAUCUUCUCCCCCUUAGAAAGGAGUCCAGAGAAGUAUACGGGGAAGGGCACACUGAGGCUCAGGAUACUUAGGGGAAGCUUCAUGUGGGAGGCCUGAGCUGGCCCUCAUAGGUGAGCUGAAUGAGUUCAUCUUAGACCAGGAGGGAACCUUUCAGAGACUAUCCAACAUAAUCACAUUAUUUUCAGGAUAGGGGAACAGAGAGAGACCCAGAGGAAUAAAGUAUUUUGGGCAAGAUCACACGAUAGAUAUAAGAAAAGCAGAGAAGAAUAAAGGAUCUUCAGAGGCCAAGAAACAGCAUAAGCAGUGCUGGAUGCAGAAUAUUCACCAGCACCACCUAGCGCACAGGAUGCAGGGCAGGGUGGAAUAUGAUGGUGCCCGCCCAGCCACAGCCAGCAGGGGGACGGGCCAUCCCGGAAGCACUUAAGCAGCACGCACUGUGGUGUGGUGGACGCAGAAGCCAACUGAAAGUUAGUCAUCUCACAGUGACCUUGUGCUUGUUAGGCUAGACGAGGUCCCUGUGAGAUGGCCAAGCCACAUCUGCACAAGGGCCUGGCCUGGGAUGAGGACAAAGCAGGAAGAGAAAUGCAGGGUGACCUGGAGAACACACAGGAUUUGUUAGCAGACACUGACGGGGCCUCUGACAUGACAGGCCUGGAGUUGGGGCAAGAGUGGUGCUCACGCAGAGGGAGGGAGCAGUAUUAGUGCCUGAGGGACAUUAGAAGUUACAGCAGUUUUGAUGUGGUCCUUUAGGGUCUCACUCUGUCGCUCAGGCUGGAGUGCAGUGGCGCAAUCACGGCUCAUUGCAGCCUCGACCUCCCUCUUGGGCUCAAGCAAUCCUCCCAUCUCAGCCUCCUGAAUAGAGGGGACUGUAGGCACACACCACCACACCUGGCUAAUUUUUGUAUCUUUUAUAGAGAUGGGGUUUCACCAUGUUGCUCAGGCUGGUCUCAAACUCCUAAGCUCAAGCGAUCCGCCCGCCUUGGCUAGGAUUACAGGCAUGAGCCACUGCGCCUCGCAGGCACAGUCCACUUUUAUUGAAAAUGGAACAUCCAAAUAAAGACUGUCCCAUGUGAGAGUUCAGUGCUGGCCCAGUGGGUAGCCAAUAAGUGGCCACUAUUAUCACACAUGGACCUCCAUGGCUAGAUUACAAAACAGCGGGUGAAGACAGCACAAAGACUUUGAGUUACACCAGCAGAUGCUGGGAAAUGACAUGGUGAGGGCAGAGAAGGUGAGACAUGCUUGGGAAGGACAGCCACAUUUAGAGGAAAACAAGAGGUGACAGCAAAGGAAACAAAUAGUGACUGGAUAAGAGGACUCUGAGUGGUACAGAUCACAGACAACAGAAGCUACGAUGGUGACAGUACAAUAGAAUUGGAGCUGGCCUGGGGGCUUGGUAAAAGGGCCCUCUGGUGACUUCCGCAGCAUUGUCAAUGACACCCACGUUCAGGAACAUCUUCCAAAGCCAUCUGGAGACUUCGUACCUUCUCCACAUCAAUUCUCAUCUCUAUUUACAUGGACAACUGACUGUAUAGGGCUGAUAAGUAAGAGAUUCAAAUCUCCUAGAAGCUUUCUGGCAUGAUCUUCGGUUCCAAAGAUUCCUCAUAUCUGACACCUCUUGAAUAUUCACUCUAAGUUAGGCUAGCUUUAUAGGACCUUAAAUUCAUCACAUUGUAAGAUGUUCCCAAAGAAAAGCAGCACUCCAAAGAGGUGCUCAUGAAGAUCAUGCCAGUCUCAAGGUCUCAGUGUUAUUUUACAGCUAAUCUAGAGUCUUCACAAAAACUUAUAUGAUAAACUUUUAAGUAACACUUCUUUCAGCCAAAUGUAAUCUAGUUAACUGAAAAAAAGGAUGAAUGUAUAGGUAGAAAUGCCUAAUUUUACCCAUCUGUAAAGCCACGGCAAGUCUUUCCUGUACCUUUUUUUUUUUUUAAGGAGCUAACUCCUCCUACACUCAUUCCACACAAGGCAACCACAGAGAGAGAUCACAGCAGGACACACUUACAGGGUCUGGAAUGAACAAGAGGGAGGGCCCUGAUGAAAAACACCAGCACAAGCGAUCCUGCCGCCUCGGACUCCUGAGUAGCUGGGACUACAGGCGUGCCACCACACCCAGCUAUAUGUAGUUUUUAAAACAACUUACGUGCUUAUAGCACAAAACUCUAAAGAUAUUAGAGUUCACUAUAUGAAAUUGCCAUUUUUUUAGGCCAAGGACAUAUUCUUGUCUUGUUUAGCAAUUUCACGUGGUUCAACUUGAUACAAAAUAAAUAAAAUAUGCAGAUGUA